rnacentral:rRNA from 3 species
UGACGACCAUAGCAAGGUGGUCCCACUCCUUCCCAUCCCGAACAGGACAGUGAAACGCCUUCGCGCCGAUGAUAGUGGAUGUACAUCUGUGAAAGUAGGUCAUCGUCAGGCU